rnacentral:tRNA from 1 species
GGUUGUGGCUUAGUGGUAGAGUACUCAUCUAGCAAGUGUGAGGCCCUGGGUUCAAUCCUCAGCACCA